CUUAAGCAUAUCAAUAAGCGGAGGAAAAGAAACCAACAGGGAUUCCCCUAGUAACGGCGAGUGAAGCGGGAACAGCUCAAAUUUGAAAUCUGGCCCUUGGGUCCGAGUUGUAAUUUGCAGAGGAUGCUUUUGGUGCGGUGCCUUCCGAGUUCCCUGGAACGGGACGCCUUAGAGGGUGAGAGCCCCGUACGGUUGGACACCAAGCCUAUGUAAAGCUCCUUCGACGAGUCGAGUAGUUUGGGAAUGCUGCUCAAAAUGGGAGGUAUAUUUCUUCUAAAGCUAAAUAUUGGCCAGAGACCGAUAGCGCACAAGUAGAGUGAUCGAAAGAUGAAAAGCACUUUGAAAAGAGGGUUAAAUAGCACGUGAAAUUGUUGAAAGGGAAGGAUUUAUGACCAGACUUUUUCUAGGGGGAUCAUCCGGUGUUCUCACCGGUGCACUUCCCCUAGUUGAGGCCAGCAUCGGUUUCUGUCGGGGGAUAAAAGCUUCAGGAAUGUGGCUCCCUCCGGGGAGUGUUAUAGCCUGUUGCAUAAUACCCUGACGGGGACCGAGGUUCGCGCAUUGCAAGGAUGCUGGCGUAAUGGUUAUUAAUCACCCGUCUUGAAACACGGACCAAGGAGUCGAACAUUUGUGCGAGUGUUUGGGUGUUAAACCCUCACGCGUAAUGAAAGUGAACGGAGGUGAGAGCCUUUAGGGGUGCAUCAUCGACCGAUCCUGAUGUCUUCGGAUGGAUUUGAGUAAGAGCAUUAAUGUUCGGACCCGAAAGAUGGUGAACUAUGCGUGGAUAGGGUGAAGCCAGAGGAAACUCUGGUGGAGGCUCGCAGCGGUUCUGACGUGCAAAUCGAUCGUCAAAUCUGCGCAUGGGGGCGAAAGACUAAUCGAACCAUCUAGUAGCUGGUUACCGCCGAAG
rnacentral:rRNA from 2 species